UUUUUUCUCCUCCCACAGAGGAUCAGUUCUUUACAAUGAACAGAAGUUUGCAGAAUCAAGAUCUAUUACUACAUGGAAGGGAACAAGGAAGACUCUUCCUUCAAGCCAGAACCUAUGUAUAAUGCCUGUCCCUUCCAGGGUUAGCAUGUCCAGAUGUGGUUUUGAAUCUUCAGCCUGCCCAUCUCUGCCCCACCUGGAAGAUUCUUUCCUUUAGGUGCCCAACAAACAGUGAAUGUUCACACAAAGCAACCAGAAGAAUAAUCAAGUGACAAUCCCACAAACAGCAUGAGAUACCAUCAGGGAGUGCUGAGUUUCCAGCUCCAGAGGGAGGAGCCUGCAAAACCCACAUUCCAGAAUGCCCUAAGAGGAUAACAGGUAGCCCAAGCACCCCCUCCCUCCCCAGGGGUGUCUCCUCAGGAGGAGUCCAAAGUUCUCCAGAUCAGAAAGUCCAUCCAUGAAGCUCCCUCAAGUUGGGGAGUAAGAAGAUACUGGUUUCAUCAACAUUUAACUAUCACUCUACUUCCCCAUCUGAGAACUUCCUCACUAAGACCUCAACUUGCCUCCGGAUCCUCCCAAACCAAAGCCUGAAGUCAGGAGGUCAGCUCCACCCACCAGACUGCACCCUAAACCCUGGAAAAUCUGAGAUUACGCUUCUAAACAGAAAGUUUCAAGAGUCACAACUCAUUCCAUCAACAUUUUAUGUUCCAACUUUCAGUUGAACAAAUAUUUACUGAUCUUAAAACAAAACAAAAACAAAAAACAACAAAACAAGACAUUGUGGCAGGUUAUCGGAACAGCAAGAAUCAAAUCACAUCGUCAGAGGCCCCCUGGAUCUCAUUAUUCUGUCUGCAUCAAGCACACUGGGGGUCGACCAGAAACCGGGAACAGACAUUGGCACUCUCUCCAGUUCGCCGCCGCACAAGCGGGCUUGUCGGCUGUGUCUAGAAACGCUUUUCACGGGUUCGCUUGUACUGAUCAAACUUGGGCAAUACAGGCCUGAGGUCCGGCAUCUCGCGGGGGGUGGGGGUCGGGGGGUGGCAGGCGGGUUCAGUCGGCUCGUACAUUUGCAAGAACAGAGCGAGCGAAACACCGACUCCGCUCCGCUGCUUCCCGUCCACUGAGAGAGUGGGUUCAGCAGCUGCUCCCACGAGAGGAAGAAGAGCCCAGGCCCGAGGAUGGGAGGUGCUGCUGUGGCCUGAACCUCCUCCAGGGAGGGCACCGCGCUUCCUCCCUGCCGACUGCUGCCUCAUUUCCUGAGCAGGAGGAGGGAGCGGAAAAGCUAGCAGCAGACCAGGCCGGGGGCUUUCCGGCGGUUCCAACCCCCAACCCCCACUCUCGCACCGGAGGCUCGGCCCUGCCCCUCCCAGACCAGAGAAGCACCCACCUACUCUCACCCUUCGGGCCGGAAACCUCCAACGAGAGCCAAUUCCGCACCCCUCCCCGCCCUCCACGGUGGAGUGGGGGAGGGCGAAGCCGCCGAGCCCCUCCCCCGGCCGCGCCUGGCUCCGAGGGCCCGAAUGAAUGAGCUGGGCGACGGGAGGAGCAAUACAAGGUUCCGGACCCCGAAAGAUCCCGUUCCCUCAGAGGCCCAGCCUGCUCACCCGAGAACCCAGUUCCCCCCUCGCCCACCCCGGGUCCCACUGUGGCUGCGCCCCACCCCUGCUCCGGGCCCGCCAGAGCCGAAGGACCGCGCUCCGAAGCCAAACCCGGGCCCCGUUCAGGGUCCCCGCCGCUGCACGCCUGCUCCCCUCGCGCGCCUCGCCGUCUCUGUACCUGCUCCCGGGCCCGCCUUUCCCCUUCCACUUCCCGCUGCAGGCGCUCGGCCCUCUCCUCUGCGUCAUCGGCUUGCUGCUGCAGAACCUGGAUCUUACGCUUCACCGCCUCGAUGGUGGUGAUCCCGGCCAUGGUGCCCACCCAGCCCCUGCUCGCGCUCGGCUUCUCGCCUCCUCCGCUCGGCGCUGCAGCCGCUUCUCACCCCCACUUCCGCCUGCUCCGCCCUGAAAUACCGGAACUCGCCCACCCGCCCGGACCUGACGUCACCGCCGCGCCCUGCCGCGCGGCGCCGCUGAAGGACCGCC